rnacentral:rRNA from 1 species
AUGGCGGCGCUCCGGCACGCGGGGAGGAGGCUCUGCGAGCGGGCGCUCCAGCGAGGUGGACCGCAGGUGAUCCCGUCUGGCCGCCGGUCCAUGUUCAUCUCCAUCGGUGGCACGCCUAAACCUACGACUGCGGCGGCUCAGGAGGAGCUGAAAAUGCAGUUCCAGAAAAAGAAAGAAGAGUUGUUCGAUGUGCUGGUGGAGUUGUCAAGGACACGCACGUACCCAAGUCUCUCCUGGGAGGCCUUCCAGGUUAAUCAGCUCGCCGCUCGACUUGUUGGGAAGGUGGAGCCUAGGCCUGGUGACUACUACUGGCGCAGUUAUCGACUACAAGGCAGACUCAACACCUUCUUGGUUUCAUACUUGUUUCUGCAUUUUGUAUAUAUGGAACACUUCUGGAUACCCAAGAAGCAGAGAGAAGAUGGCGCCACAAGCAACAACAGUGAAGCCAAGGUCCUUCCCGACAGCGACGAGAACCAAAUAAGGACAUGA